rnacentral:rRNA from 1 species
CUCUGCUAAAGAGGAGGAAGGAAUGGGCUACGGUAGGUCAGUAUGCCCCGAAUUAUCCGGGCUACACGCGGGCUACAAUGGGUGGGACAAUGGGUUUCGACACCGAAAGGUGAAGGCAAUCUCUUAAACCUGCUCUUAGUUCGGAUUGAGGGUUGCAACUCGCCCUCAUGAAGCUGGAAUCUGUAGUAAUCGCGUCUCAAAAUGGCGCGGUGAAUAUGUCCCUGCUCCUUGCACAAA